rnacentral:rRNA from 1 species
UACGUAGGCAGCAAACGUUGUUCGGAGUUACUGGGCGUAAAGAGUACGUAGGCGGUUUGCUAAGUUUGGUGUGAAAUCUCCCGGCUUAACUGGGAGGGUGCGCCGAAAACUGGCGAGCUUGAGUGUGGGAGAGGGAAGCGGAAUUCCUGGUGUAGCGGUGAAAUGCGUAGAUAUCAGGAGGAACACCGGUGGUGUAGACGGCUUCCUGGACCACAACUGACGCUGAGGUACGAAAGCGUGGGGAGCAAACAGG